UACGGGGGGGGUAAGCGUUGUUCGGAAUUACUGGGCGUAAAGGGCUCGUAGGCGGCCAACUAAGUCAGACGUGAAAUCCCUCAGCUUAACUGGGGAACUGCGUCUGAUACUGGAUGGCUUGGAUUCGGGAGAGGAAUGCGGAAUUCCAGGUGUAGCGGUGAAAUGCGUAGAUAUCUGGAGGAACACCGGUGGCGAAGGCGGCAUUCUGGACCGACACUGACGCUGAGGAGCGAAAGCCAGGGGAGCAAACAGG
rnacentral:rRNA from 1 species